rnacentral:lncRNA from 1 species
GAAUAUUUCAGUUGAAAAUGGAUUUGAAAUUUUAAUUCAAAAUUAUACAUUCCCAAAGAAAGAAGCAUCUGGAAGAGGAGAGUUUGCAUGUGGGACCUCUCAACACAAGUGGCAUGUGUGGGGCAAACGGAUUUGGAGAGUUGUCUUUUGUCACCAUUUUCUUGUAGCUAUCUUGCUGAGAAAUCACUCUCUGAGAUGUGGUACUGGAGUGGAACCCACAAGCCAAUAUCUAGU